rnacentral:rRNA from 1 species
UACGAAGGGGACUAGCGUUGUUCGGAUUUACUGGGCGUAAAGCGCGCGUAGGCGGAUCGCUAAGUCAGGGGUGAAAUCCCAGGGCUCAACCCUGGAACUGCCUUUGAUACUGCCGAUCUGGAGAUCGGGAGAGGUUGGUGGAAUUCCGAGUGUAGAGGUGAAAUUCGUAGAUAUUCGGAGGAACACCAGAAGCGAAGGCGGCCAACUGGCCCGAUACUGACGCUGAGGCGCGAAAGCGUGGGGAGCAAACAGG